UGGCGGACGGGUGAGUAACGCGUGGAUAACCUGCCGUGUACAGGGGGAUAACACUUAGAAAUAGGUGCUAAUACCGCAUAAGCGCACAGCUUCGCAUGAAGCGGUGUGAAAAACUCUGGUGGUAUACGAUGGUUCCGCGUCUGAUUAGCUAGUUGGUGGGGUAAUGGCCUACCAAGGCAACGAUCAGUAGCCGGCCUGAGAGGGUGAACGGCCACAUUGGGACUGAGACACGGCCCAAACUCCUACGGGAGGCAGCAG
rnacentral:rRNA from 1 species